rnacentral:rRNA from 1 species
AGAGUUUGAUCCUGGCUCAGGAUGAACGCCGGCGGUGUGCCUAAUACAUGCAAGUCGAACGCGUUGGCCCAACUGAUUGAACGUGCUUGCACGGACUUGACGUUGGUUUACCAGCGAGUGGCGGACGGGUGAGUAACACGUAGGUAACCUGCCCCAAAGCGGGGGAUAACAUUUGGAAACAGAUGCUAAUACCGCAUAACAAUUUGAAUCGCAUGAUUCAAAUUUAAAAGAUGGUUUCGGCUAUCACUUUGGGAUGGACCUGCGGCGCAUUAGCUUGUUGGUAGGGUAACGGCCUACCAAGGCUGUGAUGCGUAGCCGAGUUGAGAGACUGAUCGGCCACAUUGGGACUGAGACACGGCCCAAACUCCUACGGGAGGCAGCAGUAGGGAAUCUUCCACAAUGGACGCAAGUCUGAUGGAGCAACGCCGCGUGAGUGAAGAAGGUUUUCGGAUCGUAAAGCUCUGUUGUUGGUGAAGAAGGAUAGAGGUAGUAACUGGCCUUUAUUUGACGGUAAUCAACCAGAAAGUCACGGCUAACUACGUGCCAGCAGCCGCGGUAAUACGUAGGUGGCAAGCGUUGUCCGGAUUUAUUGGGCGUAAAGCGAGCGCAGGCGGAAAAAUAAGUCUAAUGUGAAAGCCCUCGGCUUAACCGAGGAACUGCAUCGGAAACUGUUUUUCUUGAGUGCAGAAGAGGAGAGUGGAACUCCAUGUGUAGCGGUGGAAUGCGUAGAUAUAUGGAAGAACACCAGUGGCGAAGGCGGCUCUCUGGUCUGCAACUGACGCUGAGGCUCGAAAGCAUGGGUAGCGAACAGGAUUAGAUACCCUGGUAGUCCAUGCCGUAAACGAUGAGUGCUAAGUGUUGGGAGGUUUCCGCCUCUCAGUGCUGCAGCUAACGCAUUAAGCACUCCGCCUGGGG